GAAGUGGUGGGUAGAAGACAGAAAACUACAGUCCAUGUUCAAGAUACUGCAAUAGACCUUGAAUCGGAUACAAAGGUGGCUGAAGCCUUUACACAGCCGGAAUUUUAAGUAUUGCAUGUUUCUGGAAGAAAAGCAUUGAUCACAUCCUCC
rnacentral:lncRNA from 1 species